GAAAAUGGCCCAUGUUCUACCUCUUUUUAAAAAAGAGGACCCAUCACUCGCAUGUAAUUAUAGACCUGUUUCUUUACUAAGCUGUGUAAGUAAAAUAAUGGAGAGAAUUGUUUUCAAACAUGUUUAUAAUUAUUUCCAUAGUAACAAUUUAUUUUAUAAAUACCAAGCCGGUUUUUUACCCGGUCAUUCAACAGUGUACCAGUUAAUUGAGACAUAUCAUAGCAUUGUUAAGAAUAUUGAUGAGGGUAAAUCAUGUUGCAUUGUUUUUUGUGAUCUAUCAAAAGCCUUUGACAGAGUUUGGCAUGAAGGGCUUCUUUUUAAAUUACAAACUUACGGUAUUUGUGGCAAUCUUUUUCAAUGGUUUAGCAGCUAUUUGUGUAACAGAUCUCAAAAAGUGAUGUAUAAAGAUUUAUUAUCACCCAGCUUAAGUAUUAAUGCUGGAGUGCCACAAGGAUCUGUACUUGGGCCCCUUUUGUUUUUAAUUUAUGUCAAUGAUGUUGCACAAAAUAUGUUGUCCUUUUGUAGAUUAUACGCAGAUGAUAAUUCAAUCCAGUAUGCGGAUAAAAACUUAAGAAAUGUCGAAAAUGUGUUAAAUCAUGACCUUAGAAUAUUAGAAAAAUGGUCCAAUGAUUGGUUACUUAAAUUUAAUCCUAAUAAAACCAAAGUUGUAUUUUUUAGCAAAUCAAAACGUAAUGUAACCCCAGAACUGUUUUUUCAAGAUUGUCAGUUAGAUAUUGUUUCUUGUCAUAAACAUCUAGGCCUAACGCUCUCUGAUGAUUUGAAGUGGUCUGUGUACAUCAAUGAUAUAGUGAACAUCGCUUGUAAAAAAUUAGGACUACUUAAGAAACUUAAAUUUACUUUAGGCAGAGACAAACUAUCAAAAUUAUAUAUAACUUUUGUAAGGCCAAUAUUAGAAUAUGCUUCUGUUGUAUGGGAUGGUUGUUCUUCCGCAGAAAUUGAAAAGUUAGAGAAAGUACAACUACACGCUGCAAGAAUUGUCACGGGACUUCCAAUUUUGGCCUCAAGGGAAUCAUUGUAUUUCGAAACGGGUUGGGACUCUCUAUCUAAAAGGAGAGAAAUAGCUAAAAUGACGAUUAUGUACAAAAUUCAUUACAAUCUUGUGCCUCAAUAUCUUAGUGAUAUUGCUAACAUUUUUAGGAAAGAUAAUUCUCGCUACAAUACUCGUUAUGAAGACAAUUAUAUACCUCCUAGAGUUAAGUAUGAUACAUAUAAAAAAUCAUUUAUUCCAGAUGCUAUAGGCAAAUGGAACUCUCUAAAUUACGAUAUUAAAAAAUCAACAUCCAUCCGCCAGUUUCAAAGAAGCAUCUCUAAUAAUGGCAGUGAUUCAAAAGUUCCAAAAUAUUUUCUUCAUGGCAAAAGAGUAGCUAACAUCAUUCAUACAAAAUUAAGACACAAUUGUUUACUAAAUUAUGAUUUACACAGAAGACAUAUUGUUGAUUCUCCAAAUUGCAUAUGUGGAAAGAAAGAAGAUGUAUAUCAUUUUUUAUUUGUUUGCAAACUAUUUUCUAAUGCAAGGAAUACCUUAUUUAAUGAACUAUUCCAAGUACAAAAUUUAGGCAUUAUAGAUUCGCAUACUUUACUAUGGGGUAAUGACAACCUAGAUUAUAAAACUAAUGUUAGAAUUUUCACAGCUGUGCAGAACUUUAUAAUCAAUUCUCGCAGAUUUACAUAAGUAUACUAUUUUGUUCUUUACCAUUUUUUUUUUCAAUAUAUGUGUAUAUACCUGUAGCAUGUUUUAUGACAAUUGCAAAUUACUUGUAAUUGGGUGAGAACCUAGUAAGUUGCAAGAACUUGUGUUCGAACCCUUUGUAUAUUAUAUAUACAAUAAAAUAUGUUCAAACCAUC
rnacentral:sRNA from 1 species